rnacentral:rRNA from 1 species
AUUGAACGCUGGCGGCAGGCCUAACACAUGCAAGUCGAGCGGGGUUUUCGGACCUAGCGGCGGACGGGUGAGUAAUGCGUAGGAAGCUACCCGAUAGAGGGGGAUACCAGUUGGAAACGACUGUUAAUACCGCAUAAUGUCUACGGACCAAAGUGUGGGACCUUCGGGCCACAUGCUAUCGGAUGCGCCUACGUGGGAUUAGCUAGUUGGUGGGGUAAUGGCUCACCAAGGCGACGAUCCCUAGCUGGUUUGAGAGGAUGAUCAGCCACACUGGAGAUGAGAAACGGUCCAGACUCCUACGGGGGGCAGCAGUGGGGAAUAUUGGACAAUGGGCGCAAGCCUGAUCCAGCCAUGCCGCGUGUGUGAAGAAGGCCUUCGGGUUGUAAAGCACUUUCAGUAGGGAGGAAGGGUGUUGUGUUAAUAGCACAGCAUUUUGACGUUACCUACAGAAGAAGCACCGGCUAACUCUGUGCCAGCCGCCGCCGUAACAC